rnacentral:lncRNA from 1 species
UUUUAUAGCCGUUGUCCCCACGUUCCCGCUUGCCCUUCAUCCCCACCUUUUUCGGGUAGUGGUAGCCUCUCAUGGGGCUCUAACUGAUGCAUUAUGGGCAAACGUGGGAUCUCGCGUCUCCCGCAACGGUUCUGGGAAAGCACAACUACCGUGAUUCUGUGAGAUCGUGUUUCCGCUUUUCGGGGGACAGGUACCGGCUCGGUAUAUGGCUCUGGUCAGUAUUCGUCUCUGAUCGACUCAUGUUACCCCUGUUCUGCUCGUACCAUUUGGCUGAGGUGAUUCAUGCCGGGGUGGAAGUAGUAUCCUGGCCGACCUGGUGCUUUUAUUUGCUUAACACCAGUCCCCCAGUUUCUGGUCUUGUGAGUGAAAUGAGUCAAGAGUAGAAACUGAUAGUCGACUCUCACCACUCCGGGGGUUUCUCCUCUGGUCUUCUGUCUACCGGGACGGACCUGAGCAAUUCAUUUUUCUUCAGGUGAGAUUUUGAUCUGGGCGUGGGCCUAAAUGAGCAUGUCCACUGCGCACCUGGGCUUGCAUCUAGCCCGGCCUCUUGUAACGGUUGGUGACGUGGCAUCUCCCGAUUCUUCGUAUUUGAAAUUUGAAACGACGGGCUAUCUGUCCUCGAUGUACGGUGAGUGAGCUGGCGUCCCCAUCACUUAAAUGCUUCUAUUUUCCCCUUUUCGUUUUAAAUCCCUAGACUGGAGUCUUCACCAUCUUGUUACUCGUUUCUCCGCCGUUAACCAAAUUUUCUCUGCACUUUGCUCACACUUCCAGCGUCCGGAGUAUCCAUUUGCUGGGUGUUUUCUCUGUCGCGGCGGCGCUAUCAGUGUCAGUCUAUUCCAGGUAUAGCCUUUAACCUUUUCUUCGGCUGUUGUUGAUUGGGUUCUGUGUUGUAAUCAGGCUUUGAAGGUCACACAAGAAGGCUAUUCGACCGACAAAACGUAGGUAGGAAUUAGUGCGUGCUGAAAAAUGGACUUUUCUUUCUAAGUGCUGCUGUACGGCCAAGGCGGAUGUACGGUACAGCAGCAUCCCACCUUUUUCGGGUAGUGGUAGCCUCUCAUGGGGCUCUAACUGAUGCAUUAUGGGCAAACGUGGGAUCUCGCGUCUCCCGCAACGGUUCUGGGAAAGCACAACUACCGUGAUUCUGUGAGAUCGUGUUUCCGCUUUUCGGGGGACAGGUACCGGCUCGGUAUAUGGCUCUGGUCAGUAUUCGUCUCUGAUCGACUCAUGUUACCCCUGUUCUGCUCGUACCAUUUGGCUGAGGUGAUUCAUGCCGGGGUGGAAGUAGUAUCCUGACCGACCUGGUGCUUUUAUUUGCUUAAACAUGCAUGUAAGAAAAUACCAGUGCAGAAGUGCACUGACCCACGUGUUAUGUUAUUUUUUCUAUUUAUUUUGGAAUAAUUAAUAUAGAAUUAGCCUUGCGCUUAAGAUUAAUUUAUAAAGUAGCCUACUUACUGCUUUACUUACUUUUAAGCAUUAAAAAAAUUAAUAUUUCGAACACAAAUGCUAUAAGUCAAUCACUCAUAGACAUAGAUUGAUAUUCGAUUAUCCGGAGACUGCUUAUUCAACAUGACAAAUUAUUAUAAACAUUUAUGUUGAAGUGUCCGAUUUUAGCUAUUAAAAUUUAAAAAAAAAAUUGUAAAUAUACUAGUUUUAUAAAUUAAUAUCUUAUUUUACAUCAUUUUCAUAAUUUUUCUAAAUUAAAUUAUUUUAAAAAUUACUUAGAAAUCACUCUCUAAUUUUUUUUUAAUUUUAAGAAAGGGAUUUUGUUAUAAUUAUUUGUUUAUUUAAAAUUGAGAAGGGAAUUAAUUCAUAUAGAAGCUAAUAUAUUAUUAUAAUUAAAUAAUGGGGGAGAGUAAGGUUUGAAAAGACUACUCGGUGGCAGGAGGCUGUAGAAAGUCCCACGCUACGGCCACCCACCCACCCCAAAGACCACAGCCACAGGGGCGGGGCCACGCCAAGCCAACUUCUCUGACUCUUUUUCUUACUAUUAAAUGGAAGUGCCGUUGCCUGAACAAAUCAAUGCUUUCAUGUCACGACAAAAUACACAGGUAAAAAUAAAUCCAGUAGUCAUUAGGUUUUUUUAUUUAUUUAUAUAAAAACAAAAUAAAAUAAGAUCGAUUUAUAAUUGUACGAUCAUCUUGUGACAUAUGCCCUUUUUGCACUUGCUAUCAAUCAGAAAUCAGAAUUUCCCUGACCCGCUUACUGUGCAUAUCAUGAAGAUACAAAGAUGAUCAAACAAAAGAGAUUUUACGUGUCACUUAUUAGGGUUAAAAUUAACAUGAAGAAGAAGAAGAAGAAGAAGAAGAAGAAGAGAAAUUUAAAUUCUCUUUUUUUUCUUUUUGACUUUUGAAGCAUUAAAGUGACAAAUGCACCCAAAAAAAAA